GAUGUUCCUGGUCCUGACGAUUGUAUAUUGCAGGGUAGAUUGAAAAAUUCAGAAACACUGGAUAUCUUAGACAGUCUUCUCACUCACCUACCUGUUGAUGGGCGGAAAGAGAUGGUUGGUCUGAUUCAGAGAUUUCCAGGAUGCCGGUGGGCGGAGUUGAGAGGGUCGUCAGCUACAUGGGAAACACCUGGGCCCAGGUGUUUCCCAGGAUAAAUACACCCCUUCCCCAUUCAUGGAGGAGACUCUCUCUCCAUGCAGACAUUUGUAGAUUGUGUUGUGGUUCUUGUUGACUUUUUGUUUGUUUGCUUUGGCACCUUUCAACACCCUGCAUUAUCACAUUCAUGCAUGCAAAACACUAACUUACGCUACUGAUUACUGCUUACACACAUCAUUGUAUAUUUUCCUUAGUUGCUUUAGUUAAUAAAUAUAUUUUGUUACUCCUUA